AAAUCUUUUUGGAGUGCAAUGCUAUACUCUUUAAAAACCUGAACAUCAUUUAUAAGAAGACACAAUUCUCUGUGUGGGCACUUGCCAUGACUUUAUUUUAGAAUGUUUCUUUGUGCAUGUGGUAGGGAAAACAUUGAUGUUUAACAGAAAUUCACUCAUUUGCUUGAAGGUUAAAGACUACAUGAUACUUUGACAGAUGGCGGGAAACCCUCAUCCACUGGUAGAGGAAUGUCUGCGACUAAGCCGAGGGCCACUGGAUAAGGGUUGUUGAUGGUAAAACAGGUUAAAGACUACAUGAUACUUUGACAGAUGGCGGGAAACCCUCAUCCACUGGUAGAGGAAUGUCUGCGACUAAGCCGAGGGCCACUGGAUAAGGGUUGUUGAUGGUAAAACAGGUAGAGGAAUGUCUGCGACUAAGCCGAGGGCCACUGGAUAAGGGUUGUUGAUGGUAAAACAGGUUAAAGACUACAUGAUACUUUGACAGAUGGCGGGAAACCCUCAUCCACUGGUAGAGGAAUGUCUGCGACUAAGCCGAGGGCCACUGGAUAAGGGUUGUUGAUGGUAAAACAGGUUAAAGACUACAUGAUACUUUGACAGAUGGCGGGAAACCCUCAUCCACUGGUACGAACCCGGUAAAUUGAUGGCUGUAAAACAGUGACCGCUGAUUCGCAUCGAGUUCUUUCUUGCAAAACGCAUGACCCCCCUUUUUUAUUGUCUAAAUCAUUGCGGCUUGGAAUGCUCUUUAAGAAAAGGUAUGGUUAUGGGGGUCUCUAUGCGCAAAAGUUUGACUUUAUUUUUUGUUGAAGUUAUUGCUUUUACAUUGAAUUUGUGUAGGAAAUCUUUUGGUAUAUUGUAACCUAAACUAGCUUUAGGUAAAAAUGAAAUAUCAUCUGCAAGUGCAAAAUAUGACUGGGA